UACGGAGGGUGCAAGCGUUAUCCGGAUUUACUGGGUUUAAAGGGUGUGUAGGCGGACUAUUUAAGUCCGUGGUGAAAUCUCCGGGCUCAACCCGGAAACUGCCAUGGAUACUAUUAGUCUUGAAUGUUGUGGAGGUGGGCGGAACGGGUCAUGUAGCGGUGAAAUGCUUAGAGAUGACCCGGAACACCGAUUGCGAAGGCAGCCCACUAAGCAAUGAUUGACGCUGAGGCACGAAAGCGUGGGGAGCAAACAGG
rnacentral:rRNA from 1 species